rnacentral:rRNA from 1 species
GACAGAGGGUGCAAACGUUGCUCGGAAUCACUGGGCGUAAAGCGCACGUAGGCGGGUUGUUAAGUCGGGGGUGAAAUCCUGGAGCUCAACUCCAGAACUGCCUUCGAUACUGGCGACCUUGAGUCCGGGAGAGGUGAGUGGAACUCCGAGUGUAGAGGUGAAAUUCGUAGAUAUUCGCAAGAACACCAGUGGCGAAGGCGGCUCACUGGCCCGGUACUGACGCUGAGGUGCGAAAGCGUGGGGAGCAAACAGG